rnacentral:lncRNA from 1 species
CACAGAUUUGGAGCCUGGGCUAUUAUUUCCAGUGACUUGCAGCCUUGAGGGCAGCAGUGAAAUGGAAAAGAGCAGGGCAGCCUGCUCUCCCAGCGAUGUUCACUGCAUCUGAAAGGUCAUGUCAUGUUUCCUGGCAAUUGACUCAAUGGGUUUGGAUUCUACAACAUAAGGUCAGGCUGUUUCCACUCUGCCUGUGUUUCCUGGGGAACGUGCCUUCCAGUUGUUUUCACGUUGACCUCAUUAUCCAGCCCUGGCGAUGAGCUUGGCUCGGACUCGCUGCGGCUGCCCAGGCUGGGACUGCCCUGCCUCCGAGACCCUGUACCUCUGGCCUGGGGAACGUGGGUGGGUGUCGAUGCCUCUCUCUCAUGGCUUAGGAAGGCCUGAUCUCUCUCCCAGUCAAGACCAGCUGUGUGUCACUGAACAAGGACUGCGGGAGUAGUCUGACCAGUUAUCUGCUGAAGUUAGAAGAAGGAGAAUAGGAGUCUGACACGAGGAAAGAACGUUCUGAAUCAUGAAGGUCAAUCAGGCCGUAGAAGAAUUUUGCUCUGGAAGCUGUCAAGACACCAGAACUGGAGUUAUUCAGGGGAAAAUUGGCUGUAAUACUUGGGGAAAUAGAAUGGGAAGACUCUUUGCCCUUGUGUUCAAUGUCUGAAGGAGAUGACCCAGCAGCCAAUCUAUAAAUAAAAUGCUUUUUCGUUGUCUAAGAUUUUGGUGCUUUGGGAAUGUGUUUGGGCACUUUGAAAAGUGACAAUACAAAAAGCGUGGCAGUAAAAUGAAAGCCUGAUGCUUCUCUUCAUCACAAAAACUGUAUUUGAAAUGUGAAGCCCAUUCUAAAAUGCAGAUCUGGCCGUGUCACUCGCUCUCUGCAUUAGAUCAGUCAACUCUGUAGGAACAUGUUGUAGAAUGGCCCUGCACCAUUGAACUGUAGUUUUUGCUCUACUGUCUGAGGCAGCUGCUCCUGGCUGGUGGGGAGCUUUCUUCCACACAGUGAUUCAGGAGCCCAAGUUCCUUUUGUCUUCCACCGUGCCCUACACUCUGGCCAUCCUUUGCAUGAACUGGUGCAAAGAGAAAGGAUGUGUGGGAGGGACAGCUACUUCUUAAAAGCCUUGGCCAGAACAGGCGCCAUCUUCCUUUUCAUAUUCCAUUGGCUAGGACCCAGCCACGUGGCCACACCUGCCAGCAAGGGAGGCUGGGAAAUGGGGUUGGCAGGAUGCCCAGGGAGAGGUGGGGAUGGCUUAUGCUCCCUGUCUUAAAGUCCUUCAACAGAUCCCCACUGCUCUGAGAUUGGAGCAUUUACACCAGGCAGAGCAUAGUCAUAGUCUUGAGAAGUAAAUUAAAGCGAUGGAACCUCCCCCCAUCCUUAUACCCAUAGCCAAUUCUGCCUACAGUUUUAGGGAGUGUUCCCAGAGGCCGUUAACAGGAUCCCUGAUGUAGAGGGGCAGAGAAAUUGUUCUCUGAUAAUGGUCCAGUCUAUGAAGUAGCUUUUUCAUGAGAAACUAGUGCACCUUCAGAAGGCCUGGAUGGAUAGGAAGGUUGAAAGGGCCUAAAUUUAAUGCCAUCAUCUUUAGGAUGGCUUGCCUGAGGAAUACGUGGAUGGAAAAUGCUAGCCCUGCACAUGGGCACAUGGUGAGCUGAGCUGUUUUCUGCAAAGGUGCAGCUAACAAGGCCCUGUUUGAUUGCCACCUUCUGCCAUGUGAGACAUCAUGGCUUCCCACCCCAGAGGCAAGGCUGAUGUGUAUACACAAGGUGGCCAGUCCCAGAGGACCAAUUGCAUAGAAACUCGUGCAGGUGUCAUAAUUAGCCAUUUCCUGAUGAAACCCCACAAAUAAGCUAC